CCGCCGCCUGAGGGAAGCCAACGGGAUGUUGUUACGGAACCAGCGGAUCUAGAGCAACCCCGGAAGUGAAAAGGAACUGAGGGAAAGGAGGAAAAGGCGGUGACAGCGGCAACUAAAUCCUAGCUACGGGGGCCGCGGAAGUCCAAUUGCAGCCGCCUAGCGGCAUGAGCGCCCUCGCGAGGCUGAGACGGGCGGAAGCAAGCUGUGGUGGCCACUGCUGUGGAGAAGCAGAACAGCUAAGAUCUGGGUUGGAGGGUGCGCCCGCUAGCUUCAGCUCAGAGUAGGCUGGAACAAGGCUUGGUCUAGUUUCACUGUUGCGGCUGCUGAGUCCGCCGCAGUGCGAACCAGUCCUGGGACCAGCAGGCGAACUCUCCGAAGUCUAGGAUUCGAUCUGUUUCUUUUCGAGAAUGUUUGUUUAUAUAAGGGAUUAAGUUGAUGUGUCCCUGAAUCACCUCGGAUGAAGCCUACUUGAUCUUGAUGGAUGAUGUCUUUGAUGUGUUUCUCUCUAUGAAGUCAGGACAAGCAAAAAUCAUCAAAGAAAGCAUGGUGAACCGAAGAAAACGCAAUGAAGACCAGCCUCGGCGAAGCACAAGACCAGCAUAGAGAGCCAGUAUCCGAGCAUUGUUCAUGGUCUGUUGGGUUAUACUUACAAUCUGUCCAAACAUCACAUACCCUUUCAUCAGACAGCGUCCAGAAAAACACCAUGUGUCUGCUUCAGCAAAACAUCCUGUCAUAAGACAGCGUCCAGAAAAACACAAGACACAACUGAGUCUCCAAGGAAACCAGAAAUCCCCACUUCGAGGAGUGACAUUAUUAGGAAGUGUAGCCUUAUUGGAGGAAGUAUGUCCUGUGGGUGGGCUUCGAGAUGGCGCAUGCUCAAACCAGGCCCAGUGUUUUACUCUUUUUCCCUGCUGCCUGCCAAUUCAGAUGUAGAACUCUCAGCUCCUCUCCAGUACCAUGUCCGCCUGGAUGCUGCCAUCUUUCUCAGUGUGAUGAGAAUGGACUAAACCUCUUAAGCUGUAAGCAGCCCCAAUUAAAUGUUUUACUUUAUAAAACUGUGGUUAUAGUGUCUCUUUACAGCAAUAGAAACCCUGAGGUAGAAGUUGAUAUCAGGAAAUGAGGUAUUGCUGUGAUAGGGUGGUCCACGUUUUUGUUUGAAUAAAUGUGGAACAUUUUGGGAAUCUGGACUAGAAAAGCGAUUGGACUUUCUAAACAAGGCUUAAUGGGCCAUCCUAGUAGGAGCUUAGAAAAGAGUGGUGAUGAGUGUGAUUUGCACUGUGGGGCCCAGCUCAAGAAGUUUCAGAGAAGGCACUUGCCAAGGAAAGCUGCUGAUGGGGCGUGGAAAGAGCCCAAGAGAAAGACGUGUGUUAACAGCCAACGAAGCUGAAAGGAUUUGGAGAUUUUGAAGAGUGUUUGCGGUGAUCUCUUCACACAGUGUCUCUUCACAGCAAUAGACAUUGCUAAGACAACUUCCUUUUAAAGACAUGUCUUAAAAUCAUUUUAGUAAAUUCAAUUUGUUCUAACAUUUCUAGUUCUAAAAGAUGAAAGUUUUAAAGUUGCCCCCCUAGACACAAAGUUUAGAGCAGAAAACAAACAAACAAACAAACAGGUUAGGCCCCAGAAUUAUAUGUUCCAAGAAGCCUCUCCUAGGGCUAUAGAAUAAUUACAUUGGCCAGCUCAACAGCUUUCUCCCAGAAACUAGCUGACCAUAAAUCUGAGAGAACAAUCUUGAGAAGCAGGAAACAACUUCUCCUAGGAACUAUCGGACCAUGAAGUUAAACAAUCUGAGAAGUAGGAGACAGCUUCUCCUAGGAAACAAUCUUGGGGGACAGAGAGUUCUUCCUUGUGAUUUUUCACUGUUAUUCUACACACUUUCCAAUGACGCCAUCCCUGCCCCCUCGGGUUGUGGUUUCUCCCUUUAAAUACCUCUUCUCCCAGCCUCUCGGGGUCGAACUCCACUGCCCCUGCGUGGGAUACGAGUCUCGACCCCAGUGCACUGGUUGCUAUCGAUAAACCUCAUGUGAUUACAACAA